rnacentral:rRNA from 1 species
GAUGAACGCUGGCGGCGUGCCUAAUACAUGCAAGUCGAGCGAACAGACGAGGAGCUUGCUCCUCUGACGUUUGCGGCGGACGGGUGAGUAACACGUGGAUAACCUACCUAUAAGACUGGGAUAACUUCGGGAAACCGGAGCUAAUACCGGAUAAUAUAUUGAACCGCAUGGUUCAAUAGUGAAAGACGGUUUUGCUGUCACUUAUAGAUGGAUCCGCGCCGCAUUAGCUAGUUGGUAAGGUAACGGCUUACCAAGGCAACGAUGCGUAGCCGACCUGAGAGGGUGAUCGGCCACACUGGAACUGAGACACGGUCCAGACUCCUACGGGAGGCAGCAGUAGGGAAUCUUCCGCAAUGGGCGAAAGCCUGACGGAGCAACGCCGCGUGAGUGAUGAAGGUCUUCGGAUCGUAAAACUCUGUUAUUAGGGAAGAACAAAUGUGUAAGUAACUAUGCACGUCUUGACGGUACCUAAUCAGAAAGCCACGGCUAACUACGUG